rnacentral:rRNA from 1 species
GACUUAACAAUUAUAAUAAUUUAAAAAACGAAAACCCAUUCCGAACUUUAUACGUAAAAUUAAAUUAUGCUAAUACUACCUAUACAAAUUGAUAGGGAAUUUUAGUUGUUGUUAAGUU